rnacentral:rRNA from 1 species
CAGUCGAACGAAGCACUUUAUUUGAUUUCUUCGGAACGAAGAUUUUGUGACUGACUGUUCGGACGGGUGAGUAACGCGUGGGUAACCUGCCUCAUACAGGGGGAUAACAGUUGGAAACGACUGCUAAUACCGCAUAAGCGCACAGGGUCGCAUGACCUGGUGUGAAAAGCUCCGGUGGUAUGAGAUGGACCUGCGUCUGAUUAGCCAGUUGGUGGGGUAACGGCCUACCAAAGCAACGAUCAGUAGCCGACCUGAGAGGGUGACCGGCCACAUUGGGACUGAGACACGGCCCAAACUCCUACGGGAGGCAGCAGUGGGGAAUAUUGCACAAUGGGGGAAACCCUGAUGCAGCGACGCCGCGUGAGCGAAGAAGUAUUUCGGUAUGUAAAGCUCUAUCAGCAGGGAAGAAGAAAUGACGGUACCUGACUAAGAAGCACCGGCUAAAUACGUGCCAGCGGCCGCGGUAAUACGUAUGGUGCAAGCGUUAUCCGGAUUUACUGGGUGUAAAGGGAGCGCAGGCGGUACGGCAAGUCUGAUGUGAAAGCCCGGGGCUCAACCCCGGUACUGCAUUGGAAACUGUCGGACUAGAGUGUCGGAGGGGUAAGUGGAAUUCCUAGUGUAGCGGUGAAAUGCGUAGAUAUUAGGAGGAACACCAGUGGCGAAGGCGGCUUACUGGACGAUUACUGACGCUGAGGCUCGAAAGCGUGGGGAGCAAACAGGAUUAGAUACCCUGGUAGUCCACGCCGUANACGAUGAAUACUAGGUGUCGGGGAGNAUUGCUCUUCGGUGCCGCAGCAAACGCAAUAAGUAUUCCACCUGGGGAGUACGUUCGC